UCUAAAUACAAAACUCGUGCAACGCGCACGUGUCAAAGCCUAGAUUUAGAAUAUUGGCCAAUCCAACAACGUUAUUCAUUAAUUUACUGGUAUAGGCUUUCGAUCAUUUUCACUGCCUUUCGUAGAAGAACACGGAAUAAACGCGAAGACAUAUACAGCGAAUUCUAUCAUCCAGGGUUUGGGAUGGCCGACCCAGUUGCAUCUGGAUCGGGACUCUUCAAGUUCCUCCGGCCCGGGGUGCGUCCGCAGGCCACUGACAUCCAGGCCGCCGCUCUGUGGGGCGUCACCGCCACCACUACCGCCGUGUGGUUCAUCCAGGUCCACUUUAAAAUCCCUUUUCUCCAGUGUUAUAGAUCUAGAUCUUUGAUUAAUACCUGGCAUGAUUUUGACUUUGUAUAAGGUUUUUAUUUUGUUUACCCAAUUUUGAUUUAUUUUUGUUUUAUUUCGCAUUUCUUAUAGAUUUUAUGCUUUAGCUUUUAUUUUGAUUUUCCGUUUGAAUUUUUGACAAUAAUUUUUUUAUUUUGUUUCAUGGCAAUCGAUCGAAUUUCAUUAUGUGAGGCAAUUUAUUAAUUGAGUCGUUGCCUUUUCCUCUAUUUGUGGAAUUUAAAUUCGGGAAAUGGUCAACUUCUAAAAUAUGAAUCAUUAUACAAUUCAAUACCAAGUAUUAUAUGCCAUAUUAACAGAGAUGGCGAAAUAACAAUGAAGGAACUUUGUACGUCUCAGACCAUUUUUCCCUUAUCUUCUGCAUCUCAAUUUUUAUUUAUUUCUUUAUUUUUUUUCCAUGUCGAGGUAAAUCGAAUUUCAGGAGUUUGGUCUUUAUUGUAUUAAGAUUUGCUAGCAUUGAUAUGGGAUAUUUGGUGAAACAUAGUAUUUGGUUUAAUCUUUUUUUGGGCCAAAAUGUGUCUCCAAACUUAUUAAAUUGGGUGUGUCAUCUAGAUUGGUCCCCUCAAUGCCAUCAGGCAUUUCCCACAUAAAAGCUAUAAUCCUCAACCAUAUUAAAUGUAUAAAAAUGUGGACUUUUGUAGCCAUUUUCGCACCAAUAUUUCAGUAUCAUCAGUGGAUAAUUAAUCUGAGUUUCACAUGUGCAUCAUAUAAAUUGGCGUUUGAUGAUGUUGGCUUAAGUUUGGAACCUGCUUCUGUAUUAAAAUUUGCUGGUAUAUUACUAGGAUCAUCAGAAAUUGUGGUUGGAAUAUUUAAAAAUUUCUUAUCGAUGCAUAGUAUUGCUUGCCAUCAAAUUGCUUUCAGAACAUUACUCUAUUGAAGCUACCGAACUCAAUGUGCCUAGGCAUCUAAACUUCUUAAACUCAAAACAUUAAUUUAUUUCAUUUCUAAAUUGAAAUACUUGCUAUGUAGAAGUCUUUAGUAUGAUUUUUUUUUAUUUUUUAUUUUUUAUUGGUACAUUGAUAUUUUUCCUUGAAGUAAAUAUAUUGAUAUAAAAUGUUUGGCAAAUGAAAUUGAAGUUAACCCAAAUUAAAUAAGACACUAGCGAUAAUAAAUGCAGUUCUCCCCCCCCCCCCCCCCCCCCCCCCCCCAACAAACCCAAAAUCCCCCCAAACCAUUUUUUCGCAUCCCCUUAUUGUGUGUAAUCUUUAUGAGCACCUUGCAAGGUCCACCAAACAUUGAAAUUAGUUUUGGGAUUUUUUUGGAGGUCAUCGAUGUUAAUCGAUUGAUUUAUUAUUUGAUAUUUUUGGGAAAGGGCAUUUUUUUUUCCUUUUUGCCAAGCUUAAAAACUUCAUUGUAAGUAAAAGCAAGUUCUAAAAUUAAUCUACUUUUGUUGGUUAAAAUUUAAAAAAAGUAAACUAUUUUGAGAAAAACAAGUGCCCUACUCUCAAUAUUUUAUCAAUGACCAAGCAUAUUUGGAAACUAAAGUUAUAGUUAGUCGUAAGACCUACUUAUCAACUUACAUGCUCGAAAAAGAAGUGAUACCUACUUUUCAGUCUAACCAACCAUGCUUUUAAUGAUGCUGCUCAAAUAACAAAGGGGCUUGUUGAAGAUUAAAUUAAACGUGUGUUGUGUUGCUUUGUUUUCAUGUUUAUCUAUGCAGUAUUGCUAUUUGUUUGGAGUGAGUGUAUUAUCUAAUUGGUAUUAACAUGCAUUGCUGUCUCUCUUUCUUUGGCACAAGAUAGAUGAUUAUAGAAAGGUGUUAUUUGGAUACAUAUAAUUGAUGAUUUGUGUGAUUUUUGGUCUCAGAAGUAUGCAAUAUUUAAUUAAAGUAUGUGGUCUCUUUACCUUUUUUUUUUUUAUUUAAACAAAAAAAUUCUGUCUAUUUACAUUCAACUAACUUAGAUCUUGGUAUCAUUUUGGAAUAUGUACAGCCUUUUGAUUGGUUGAAAAAGACACUUUUUGAGAGAUCCAACUCUGAAGAGAAGUGAAUGGGAAUGUGACUUCUUGCUGGUAACCUUUUCUGAGAUUGUUAUUGCUGAUGUGAACUCUGAGUAGGGGAAUUCAGUUGAAUAAUACCAUUUUGUUUCAUGUUGUCCAUGAAAAAGCUCUUUCCAUGUUAAUUUUUGGAGUAAUUCAGUAAAAAGCAUGGAUUCGAUCUUUAUCUCUCUUUCAUUUGUCAUAUUCUCUGGAAGACUGUUUUAUACAAUGGAGUAUUGUGUUCUAGUUAUUGAAAAACUGGAGCAUUGAUGAAUAAAGUUGGGAAAAAUCUUAGCCAUGAUGUUCCGUAGGUCAAUUUUCACUUGCUUCUAGUGUCUUUCUUUCUUUCUUCAUUUUUUUUUCUUUGGCAAAUGGGUUCUCAGACAUUAAUUUUCUUAAAAAGGAUGUCAUUUGAUUGUUUUGUGUCCAAAAGGAACGCUUUGCUAUGGGAAUUGAAGAUCGAGACUUUAUUUGCUAAAAGAAUAAUGCUAUCUAACCUUGGUAGGGAACCUCAGGGCCAUAUAGACUUGCACCAUUGGGGCUAAAAUGCACUAUUCUUGCUAAGAACGUGAGAAUGAAACCCGAAAAUUUCCCCACAUACUUCC
rnacentral:lncRNA from 1 species